AAAGGCAUGACGGCCUGUACCCGAAACCGACACAGGUGGGGUGGUAGAGAAUACCGAGGGGCGCGAGGUAACUCUCUCUAAGGAACUCGGCAAAAUGGCCCCGUAACUUCGGGAGAAGGGGUGCCACCGCAAGGUGGUCGCAGUGAAGAGGCCCAGGCGACUGUUUACCAAAAACACAGGUCUCCGCUAAGUCGCAAGACGAUGUAUGGGGGCUGACGCCUGCCCAGUGCCGGAAGGUUAAGGAAGCUGGUCAGCGCAAGCGAAGCUGGCGACUGAAGCCCCGGUGAACGGCGGCCGUAACAAUAACGGUCCUAAGGUAGCGAAAUUCCUUGUCGGGUAAGUUCCGACCCGCACGAAAGGCGUAACGAUCUGGGCGCUGUCUCGGAGAGAGGCUCGGCGAAAUAGAAUUGUCUGUGAAGAUGCGGACUACGUGCACCCGGACAGAAAGACCCUAUGAAGCUUUACUGUAGCUUGGUAUUGUGCCCGGGCUCUGAAUGCGCAGGAUAGGUGGGAGGCUUUGAUCCAUGGCUUGCGGGUCAUGGUGAGCCAACGGUGAGAUACCACUCUUUCAGAGCUAGGGUUCUAACGGUCACCCGUCAUCCGGGGACCGGACAGUAUCAGGUGGGCAGUUUGACUGGGGCGGUCGCCUCCUAAAAGGUAACGGAGGCGCGCAAAGGUUUGCUCAGGCUGGUUGGAAAUCAGCCGACGAGUGCAAAAGCAGAAGCAAGCUUGACUGUGAGACCUACAAGUCGAACAGGGACGAAAGUCGGCUUUAGUGAUCCGACGGUUCUGAGUGGAAGGGCCGUCGCUCAACGGAUAAAAGUUACUCUAGGAUAACAGGCUGAUCUCCCCCAAGAGUUCACAUCGACGGGGAGGUUUGGCACCUCGAUGUCGGCUCAUCGCAACCUGGGGCUGAAGUCGGUCCCAAGGGUUGGGCUGUUCGCCCAUUAAGGCGGUACGCGAGCUGGGUUCAGAACGUCGUGAGACAGUUCGGUCCAUAUCCGGUGCACGCGCAGGAACAUUGAGAGGAUUUCUCCCUAGUACGAGAGGACCGGGAGGAGCGCACCUCUGGUGUGCCAGUUAUCGUGCCAACGGUAAACGCUGGGUAGCCAUGUGCGGAGUGGAUAACCGCUGAAAGCAUCUAAGUGGGAAGCCCACCUCAAGAUGAGUGUUCCCAUGGCAUAAGCCAGUAAGGUCACGGGAAGAACACCCGUUGAUAGGCUCUACGUGGAAGCCGGGUAACCGGUGAAGCGGAGGAGUACUAAUAGACCGAGGGCUUGACC
rnacentral:rRNA from 1 species